CUGAAAUGUUGAUUCGUGUCCACUUUCUAUGGAACACUUUUGUUGGGUGGUAGAUUUAAGUAAAUGUAAAUCUGUAUCUAAUAUCUAGGCUAUAUGUAAUAAAAAUCUUUUCAUCCUUUAUUUUGUAAUUUAUAUUUAAACUUAUAUAUAAAAUCUAAAUUAUUUCAGUCAGUCAGUCGUGCUCAGUCAACUACCCUGCGACCUGUUUCUUACGCAAGCUGCAACAUAGGGUAUUGACUGUACCACUCGUCAAGUAUAUUUCAACAGCCUGGUGUUAUAUGCCAUCUUAUAAUGUUAGAUUAUUUCUAAAGUACAGGACAAUUUGUUUGACCUUUUUUUCUGAGAAUGGACUCAUCUUUCCGCAUUCUCACAGAAGGUUUCAGACUGCUCACAUUUUGACUGUAGACUAUAGGUCUGCUUGGGUUCUCUGAUGGCCAGUCCCUCUCUGGAUGGCCAACAAUUAUCACAGUCGCCGAUAUAGAAAGAAGAGUUUCUUCCAUUUUCCCUCACAAUGUUUUGCUUGGCAUCUUGUGGUUUUGUUGUUGUUGUUGUUGUUGUUGUUGUUGUUUUUAAAUACUAGUGCAACAAACUUGGUGUCACGUAGGUUAAUAAACCUUUUCAAAAUAAUUGCUACCACCUUGUUUGAAAAAAAGAAGAAAGUUGCGUGAGACGGCUGUUGAAAUCUAUGUGAUUCUGCACUAAAGUAGCUAUACGUGUAGAUUUAUGAAAGUUAAAUACUAACCCUGUAAAAAAAAAAAACAAAAAAAAAAACAAUGUGCAGCAAUAGAUGAAUCAGCUCCUUUUUUGCCUAUGGUUAUAUGACGUAUUGCGUAAAGACCUCAGAAGAACUGGUUAGUGCGCAGGCUAUUAAUAUCAAGAACAUAAUGAAUGUUGAGCAGUUCGAGUCACGGCAUUUUUAAACAGAAAAGUUGCUUCCUGAUUCCAUUUUCUUUUUUUUCUUUUUUUUGCUAAUAUAUUAGGCAUACGUCCAUUCUUUAAACUGUAUAUCACUCACAAACUGCAGCUAGAGGACCCACUACUUAAUCUCUUUUUGAGUAGAGUAGCUAAUAAUAUCAAAAGAAAAAAAUAUAGGCCUAUAAAUAAUAAUAAAAAAAAAAAACAGUUAAAAAUAAGCCA
ensembl:lncRNA